UUUCAUUUUUAUCGCCGACUUCCGCCAAGUCGAAGUUUCAUCUUUAUCGCCGACUUCCGCCAAGUCAAAGUUUCAUCUUUAUUGCCUGAUUCUAUCAAUAUGACUUUUGGAAUGAUUAUAUUAUCACAGAAGCCACGUAUGAUGAUAACAUCAUUUUCAAUCGAAAAUUUGAGAGUAACAGACGUUUGUUUUAUAUUCUCACUGUGCUUCUGUGAACUACGUUUCCACCUUUUCAUAAAAAAAAAAUAUAAUUAUACGAUAUAUAAAUAACGAAAUAACGAGAUAAGAUGCUGUUAAUAACAUUUUGGCUCCUAGUCAGUUUAAUUGCCUUUUGGAUUCUUGGAUUAGCUACGAAAGUUCUGCAUAUUCUAUGGGAGCUUAUUAUACAAAUGUGUGAUAAAAAGACAGUCGAUUUGCGAACAACAUUUGGCGAAUGGGCUGUUGUCACUGGCUCAACUGAUGGUAUCGGCAAAGCUUACGCUAAAGAAUUAGCAAUAAGAAAUAUGAAUUUAAUUCUAAUUAGCAGAAAUUUAGAGAAACUUGAAUCAACGAAAGAAGAAAUAUUAUUAAUAAAUCCAAAAAUCGAAGUUAAAGUUAUAACGGCGGAUUUCACUGAGGGAGAAAAUGCUUUUAUCAAGAUUCGUUCUCAGUUGCAAAAUAUACCCAUCGGUAUACUAGUCAAUAAUGUGGGUAAGUUUUAUGAAUAUCUCAUGUACGUUGGAGAAGUGCCUGAGAAGGAAUUGUGGGAUAUUAUCAAUGUGAACGUGGGUGCGACUACGUUAAUGACACGAUUAGUUAUCGGAGAGAUGCAGAAACGUGGACGAGGUGUGAUUGUCAAUGUUUCUUCUGGAUCUGAGUUUCAACCGUUGCCGUUAAUGACGGUAUACGCCGCCACAAAAGCAUACGUGAAGAGCUUUUCUGAUGCGCUGAGGGCGGAAUACUCUAAAUAUGGCAUAACCGUUCAUCAUCUAUCACCUUUUUUCGUCAGUACCAAAAUGAGCUCGAUUAUUCAUAGGUUUCAGGUUCCAAGUUUAUUUGUGCCUGAUGCCGCAACUUAUUCAAGAAAUGCUGUUGCCAUUCUUGGUAAAAUGGAUAGCAGCACUGGAUAUUGGCCACAUAGCAUUCAAAAAUUUAUCGUUUUAGCAUUGCCUGUAUGGCUCAGAACAAAAAGUGGACAAAUAAUGAAUGAAAAAUUAAGGCAAGAAUAUUUUCAACAAAAAGAACAAAAAAAAUUGAAAUAAUGUUAUUACAAAUAUUAAGCAUUUCUCUUAAAUAUUUUUGUGAACUAAUAUAAAAAUAAAUCACUAACAAAUUGCUGAUUAUUAUACUUAUUUUUAAUAUUUAAGGGAGAAGAUAAAGAAAUCCCUUUAAGAAACCUUUCUAUAAAAAAGAUAAAAAACAGGCUAUAUAAAAAGAUAUCCAAACUUGUAUGCAAUAAAUAUAAAUUUAAAUUUAUAUAAAUAAAAUAGAUAAUAGAAAAGAUUGCUUGGUAAGAAUAAAUCAAGGAUAAAACAAGGAUGUGUGUGAAGUGAAAGAUGCUGCGCGCGCCUCUGCUCUUCCGCUCCUCGUUCUCUUGUCAGUUGUCCCGAAUCAGUUAGUAUAUUCUAACCGGGCUUCAUAUCUCCACGGAUUUCCUUACUUCUCACCUACAAUCAUUCUGUGUAUCGUCGAAUAAAUGCUAAAAAAGAUCAUCGAGUUGUACAAGAUGGAAAUGAGAAAGAAAAAAUUUUCAGUACAUCAUGUUACUUCUUUCCAUUCUUUCUAUUCCUGGAAUGACUUUCUAUUAUAUUUAUGAUAAAAAUAAGACACGUUUUAUUGCACACAGCAUUCUUAUAAAAAGGAAAUAAUUGUACGGUGUAUGAAUACGACUUUACGAGAGAAGAUGCUACUGUUAAUAGCAUUUUGGUUGCUAGUCAGCUUAAUUCUUCUUGGACCAAUUACGAAAUUUCUG